rnacentral:lncRNA from 1 species
CUCUGCUGUGGAAACCGGACUCAACCUUUUCAGGAUGGCACUGAACCCAUAGAAUUGUUGGACAAUUUCAAAAGCGGAGACAGACUCAAAGGACUUGGAAUUGAGAUACCUAGAAAAGAACUUGGUAAGGAGAAAAGAAAUAGAUCUCCAGGAAUCAAGAAAAAAAGCCAACAGGAAAACUAGAAACUAUAAACUGAAGACAGCAGAGAAAAGAACAAAGCCAUCUGGAAUGUUAACUGUGGCUCCUGGGGAGUAGGUACUGUCUCUGCAAACACAAGUUCAUUUUCUCCUCUCUGAAUGAUCCUGGGGAUCAAGUUCCCAAAAGACAGGAGGGCACUAGGAAGACCAUCAAAUAUUACACUGAACAGGCUGAAGAAAGGUAUAAACUCCAAAGCAUAAUCAAACCCAAGAACAAAUCAUAGGGAGACAGAAUCUGGAGAUCUCCACAGUAGUAACAGUUUCUCUAUCCUAACUGAUCUUCAACACAGUGUGAAAAAAACAGACAUGAGAAAGCAAGGGAAUAUGUCCCCCAAAGCUUUUAACUCCCCAAAAGGUGAUUUCACAGACACUGAAGUAGAG